CAUUAGAGAAGCUAUCACAGCGUUAACCUUUUAAGUUAAAGACCGGGAACCUGAACUUCCCCUCAAUGG
rnacentral:tRNA from 1 species